CGAACGGGUGAGUAACACGUGGGCAACCUGCCCUCAGCUCUGGGAUAACUCCGGGAAACCGGGGCUAAUACCGGAUACGACCACUUCGGGCAUCUGAUGGUGGUGGAAAGUUCUUCGGCUGAGGAUGGGCCCGCGGCCUAUCAGCUUGUUGGUGGGGUGAUGGCCUACCAAGGCGACGACGGGUAGCCGGCCUGAGAGGGCGAUCGGCCACACUGGAACUGAGACACGGUCCAG
rnacentral:rRNA from 1 species